GGUUAAGCGACUAAGCGUACACGGUGGAUGCCCUGGCAGUCAGAGGCGAUGAAGGACGUGCUAAUCUGCGAUAAGCGUCGGUAAGGUGAUAUGAACCGUUAUAACCGGCGAUUUCCGAAUGGGGAAACCCAGUGUGAUUCGUCACACUAUCAUUAACUGAAUCCAUAGGUUAAUGAGGCGAACCGGGGGAACUGAAACAUCUAAGUACCCCGAGGAAAAGAAAUCAACCGAGAUUCCCCCAGUAGCGGCGAGCGAACGGGGAGCAGCCCAGAGCCUGAAUCAGUGUGUGUGUUAGUGGAAGCGUCUGGAAAGGCGCGCGAUACAGGGUGACAGCCCCGUACACAAAAAUGCACAUGCUGUGAGCUCGAUGAGUAGGGCGGGACACGUGGUAUCCUGUCUGAAUAUGGGGGGACCAUCCUCCAAGGCUAAAUACUCCUGACUGACCGAUAGUGAACCAGUACCGUGAGGGAAAGGCGAAAAGAACCCCGGCGAGGGGAGUGAAAAAGAACCUGAAACCGUGUACGUACAAGCAGUGGGAGCACGCUUAGGCGUGUGACUGCGUACCUUUUGUAUAAUGGGUCAGCGACUUAUAUUCUGUAGCAAGGUUAACCGAAUAGGGGAGCCGAAGGGAAACCGAGUCUUAACUGGGCGUUAAGUUGCAGGGUAUAGACCCGAAACCCGGUGAUCUAGCCAUGGGCAGGUUGAAGGUUGGGUAACACUAACUGGAGGACCGAACCGACUAAUGUUGAAAAAUUAGCGGAUGACUUGUGGCUGGGGGUGAAAGGCCAAUCAAACCGGGAGAUAGCUGGUUCUCCCCGAAAGCUAUUUAGGUAGCGCCUCGUGAAUUCAUCUCCGGGGGUAGAGCACUGUUUCGGCAAGGGGGUCAUCCCGACUUACCAACCCGAUGCAAACUGCGAAUACCGGAGAAUGUUAUCACGGGAGACACACGGCGGGUGCUAACGUCCGUCGUGAAGAGGGAAACAACCCAGACCGCCAGCUAAGGUCCCAAAGUCAUGGUUAAGUGGGAAACGAUGUGGGAAGGCCCAGACAGCCAGGAUGUUGGCUUAGAAGCAGCCAUCAUUUAAAGAAAGCGUAAUAGCUCACUGGUCGAGUCGGCCUGCGCGGAAGAUGUAACGGGGCUAAACCAUGCACCGAAGCUGCGGCAGCGACGCUGAUGCGUUGUUGGGUAGGGGAGCGUUCUGUAAGCCUG
rnacentral:rRNA from 1 species